rnacentral:rRNA from 1 species
UCGUAGUUGAAUUUCGGGGUUAGUAGGUUGGUCAUGCCUCCGGUAUGUACUGGUCUCACUGAUUCCUCCUUCCUGAUGAACCUUAAUGCCAUUAAUUUGGUGUUGCGGGGAAUUUGGACUGUUACUUUGAAAAAUUAGAGUGUUUAAAGCAAGCUAACGCUUGAAUACAUUAGCAUGGAAUAAUGAAAUAGGACGUUCGAUCCUAUUUUGUUGGUUUCUAGGAUUGACGUAAUGAUUAAUAGGGAUAGUUGGGGGCAUUAGUAUUCAAUUGUCAGAGGUGAAAUUCUCGGAUUUAUUGAAGACUAACUACUGCGAAAGCAUUUGCCAAGGAUGUUUUCAUUAAUCAAGAACGAAAGUUAGGGGAUCGAAGACGAUCAGAUACCGUCGUAGUCUUAACCAUAAACUAUGCCGACUAGGGAUCGGAUGAUGUUAAUUUUUAAUGACUCAUUCGGCGCCUUACG